rnacentral:rRNA from 1 species
CAUCGCCGCGGGAAUACGGAGGGAGCUAGCGUUGUUCGGAAUUACUGGGCGUAAAGCGCGCGUAGGCGGUUACUCAAGUCAGAGGUGAAAGCCCGGGGCUCAACCCCGGAACUGCCUUUGAAACUAGGUGACUAGAAUCUUGGAGAGGUCAGUGGAAUUCCGAGUGUAGAGGUGAAAUUCGUAGAUAUUCGGAAGAACACCAGUGGCGAAGGCGACUGACUGGACAAGUAUUGACGCUGAGGUGCGAAAGCGUGGGGAGCAAACAGGAUUAGAUACCCCCGUAGUCCCUGUCUCUUAUACA